rnacentral:rRNA from 1 species
AUGGCAGUUCUCAAGGACACCUUCGCACACCAUUUCGAGGUCGUGGCCAUCCUUGCGGGCCUCUUCGUCUUCGUGGUCCUCGUCACUCCGUCGCCGCCGGUGCAGGGCUCGCUCCGUCCGCCCAGCGUUUGCGUCGCACCGUACGUCUACUACGAGCGGAUCGGCAUGAUACAGCCCUACCUCUUGUUCUCCAUCCUUGUCUCCGGCCUCCUCACCUCCAGCCUCAAGCGCCGCACCGCCGCGGCCGACGCGCCCCCGCCGACUCUGUGGAUCCGAGCAUAUGGGAUGCUGGCUCUCCUCCUGUCGUUCGUGAGCAUCCUUCUUCUCGCGGUGCUCGCGUCCUACAUGGCGCAGGUGAGGUCUUCGACCUUCUCUUGCUGGAGCGGGGCAAGCAAGGCCUCUGCCUGCAUCUUCGGCACCUUCGUUGGCCUAGUGUGUGUGGCUACCUACUAUGAGCUCGCGACAGUCAUCAUGUGGGCUGCUUACUAG